UGGGGAAUAUUACGCAAUGGGCGAAAGCCUGACGCAGCGACGCCGCGUGAGGGAAGAAGGCCUUCGGGUCGUAAACCUCUGUCUAGAGGGAAGAAACCAUUGAGGUCGAACAGGCCUCUUUGCUGACGGUACCUCUGAGGGAAGCACCGGCUAACUCCGUGCCAGCAGCCGCGGUAAUACGGAGGGAGCUAGCGUUGUUCGGAAUUACUGGGCGUAAAGCGCGCGUAGGCGGCUACUCAAGUCAGAGAUGAAAGCCAAGGGCUCAACCCCGGAACUGCCUUUGAAACUAGGUGGCUAGAAUCUUGGAGAGGUCAGUGGAAUUCCGAGUGUAGAGGUGAAAUUCGUAGAUAUUCGGAAGAACACCAGUGGCGAAGGCGACUGACUGGACAAGUAUUGACGCUGAGGUGCGAAAGCGUGGGGAGCAAACG
rnacentral:rRNA from 1 species